rnacentral:tRNA from 1 species
GCCGACGUGGCUCGACUUAGCUAGGCGCCGGUCUUGAUCGUGUUCAUUUGAUUUGGCGGAUGAUGCUGGUGCAAAUCCAGUCGUCGGCCCCA